rnacentral:rRNA from 1 species
UACGAAGGGGGCUAGCGUUGUUCGGAAUUACUGGGCGUAAAGCGCACGUAGGCGGAUACUUAAGUCAGGGGUGAAAUCCCGGGGCUCAACCCCGGAACUGCCUUUGAUACUGGGUAUCUCGAGUCCGGAAGAGGUGAGUGGAAUUCCGAGUGUAGAGGUGAAAUUCGUAGAUAUUGGGAAGAACACCGGUGGCGAGGGCGGCGACCUGGUCUGAUACUGACGCUGAGGCGCGACAGCGUGGGGAGCAAACAGG